GAGAAAUUCAAAGUGCUGUGAGAGUUCUGAGCAGGAAAUGUUUACAUCUGAUUGAGGGAGCCGGAAAGACGUCGUGGAAGAGAAGUAUAUUAGGGCCUGCCCAACUACUUGGGAGGAUUAAACCGCCUGGAUGCAGUAAACCUCUCUAGGGGGUGAGAAACCUCUUCUCCAAACAGAAUUUGGAGGCCAGGAGCCAUGGCAUCCUUCCGGACUCCUCGCUGCUCGGGUCAUGUACACAGUGACAGCACCCUUCAGAGUUGGAGACUAACCUGUUAUGGCCUCAGCCCUCAUCGAUUUUCCUCAAGUGUGAAAGUAAUUGUUCUCAGCACCCCCAGGCUGUUUCCUGAAGUCCAGACAGCUGUGCUUUCAGUCGAUGGAAACCUGGGAACCCCUCUUGUCCCUAUUCCUGUGGGAUAGUCCCUAGGCUUCCUGCAUUGAUCCAGGCAGGAGUCAGCUUCAAGAGCUUCUGGUAAGACCUUUUCUUCUAAUACUCUGGGGGAUUGAAUCUGGGGCCUUGAACAUGCAAGGGAACUGCUCUACACAAACACUUGAUAUUUUGAGACAAGGUCUUAGUAAGUAGGCCAGGCUGAUUUUGAACUCACUUUAGUUCAGGAUGUCCUUGAGCUUGAAACACUUCUGCCUCAGCCUCCUCAGUACAUGACACCUCUCAACAUGCUCAGUUUGACAAUCUUUUGAUGUUUUUUGUAGGUUGGUCAAUAAGCUUAAACCUUGCCUCAGCUCCAAAGGAGCUGGACCAAACCAUUAGACUGAACUUUUAAUUCUUUCAUUGAAAUCUCCAAAUACUGGAAUGCCAGAUCUUUUCCUCUGAGUUUCCAUUUUCUUAAACGUAAUUAGGUGAUAACCACUUUCCUCCUGUUCUGUAACAGUUUCCUCUAUCUUACAGGAAGCUCCUUAAGCAGAAAGGAAAACAAAAAAGUUUCAGGAAGUCCCUGAAACUGACUGGACUCACUAGGCUCCGCCCCACCAGAGUAAGCAAUAAAAGCUGAGCAUCCCUCUCA
rnacentral:lncRNA from 1 species